rnacentral:rRNA from 1 species
CCUAAGGGGGGCUGCAGUGGGGAAUAUUGGACAAUGGGCGAAAGCCUGAUCCAGCCAUGCCGCGUGUGUGAAGAAGGCCUUCGGGUUGUAAAGCACUUUCAGUGGGGAAGAAAGCCUUGGGGCUAAUACCCUCGAGGAAGGACAUCACCCACAGAAGAAGCACCGGCUAACUCCGUGCCAGCAGCCGCGGUAAUACGGAGGGUGCGAGCGUUAAUCGGAAUUACUGGGCGUAAAGCGCGCGUAGGCGGUCUGAUAAGCCGGUUGUGAAAGCCCCGGGCUCAACCUGGGAACGGCAUCCGGAACUGUCAGGCUAGAGUGCAGGAGAGGAAGGUAGAAUUCCCGGUGUAGCAGUGAAAUGCGUAGAGAUCGGGAGGAAUACCAGUGGCGAAGGCGGCCUUCUGGACUGACACUGACGCUGAGGUGCGAAAGCGUGGGUAGCAAACAGGAUUAGAUACCCUAGUAGUC